CCCUCUCUGAUGAUAACUGUACAAGGUGCCAAAAUAUGAGUAUAGCAAAAUAUCAUUAGGAAUCAUUACAUUGGUUUGUUUUCUGUUUUUUAGAACAGUAAUAUUUGACUCUAUCUUAGGUCUCUGGACUAUCCAAUGACUGGUUCUUGGCCAUCCAGGCAGUGCCAGAUUAGAGCAUGGUUGGCCAAUGGAAUGUCUCAAGUCCACCAGCUUUAUGGAAUCCCUCAUUUUGUUUUAAUCCCUUGAUGUAGACUUCUAAAUCCUCAUGCAAAUGAAGACUUAAGAAUAGAUCUCAGAGUGAAUAGAGGUCACAGAUGUACCAGAUCUGUCAAGUGCUAAGACAGCUGGAACACUAUUGUAGUUACUGUAUACUUUUAAGUUUUACAAAUCUGGAACCAGUGACAUUCUCUUUUUCACAAAGGUAACUGUUUACCACCACAGCCUCGUCUACAUAAUGUCCGUCAAAAGAGAAACUGUUGACAAAUGAACCUUUACACAACGGGCAGCAUGAACAGUGAGCGACCACAAGCUUAUGAUGAAACUCAGCAGACAAGCAAAGAAAAUAACAUUAACUUGGGUUUCCUUAUAUGGUGGAAGUCUGCUCAUUUCAGACUUGUCAACAUGUGAAGAUACUGGAUUCUCUAAAGUAAAUCCAUUGGCAUCACCUGAAUCUUACUGCUGUUUAUACAAGCUCACUUUGCAUGGCUAACACAACAACACACAUGGCAUGUAUACUAAGAAUUAUGUUCACAUUUUAUAAGUAGGUAAUAAAAAAUUGGAAUUAAAUUUGAAGAUGAGAUGAAAGAUAGGGUCUUAUUGGCUUUUAUUUCAUUCUUAACGUAAUAUUUGAGAACAGACAUUUACA